CCAGAAAGUGUGUUCUUGGGAGCUGAGAGGUGUGUUCAUCUCAUAUUCCUCACUGAAGCACAGACCAUAUUUGAUGCUAGACAUUGAAAGAAUGAAUAAAUUAAUAAAUGAACAAGUGUACAAUUCUCACUCUUACAUCUAGUUCCUGGUGUUCAGACUGAUUCUCUUCCUAUGUGCCUUUGGAAGUUCAGCAGUGUGGCUAUUUCAUAGAGCUACAUAGUGGAGAUGACAUGACUAUGGACGAAAGUCAGACAAUCCUGGCGCCACCAUUUUAUAACUGAGUGACCUUGGGCAAACUACAAAUCAUCCACAAGAAUCAGUUCUUUAAUCUAUUAAAGGUGAGGAAACUGAAGCUCAAGAAGUGGUGAGAGAUUCUCCCAAAACUACACAAUUAGUAUGGGCUGGAGCUGGCAUUCGAAUUUAGAGUCUCCUAUUUCCAAAGCCCAUAUUCUGCCAAAUGCAGGGAGAGAGUCCACGCUUGGCCAGGUGGUCGAUCAGAUGUGCUACGUUGAGAACAAUUCUGAGACUGCAUCAGGCUGCAGUGAGUAUGGUCACCUAGCAGCAUCUCCUGUGGACACAGGAGGGGAGAUGGCAUAUGUGUCAUCCACACUUCGCACAUCCACCCACAGACCUGGACAUCAUUAGGAGGGGGCCCUCGCCUGGGAGCUCCAUUCGGCAGGCGCCAUGUCUUCCUGAUAUCUGUCUCCCUGGCUCUUAGCACAGUGCUUGGCCAAAGUAGGCAGCCAACAUGUGUUGAACUAGACUGAACUGAGUGGUUCAGAGAUUUGCCCCCGAGGAUGGG